GUGUAGUGACUGAUUUCAUUCUCCUGAUGUCACUCUGAUGCACAGGUCCCACUCAGGCUUCCUGAUAUCGCCUUCCCAUAUAGCCGUGCUGUGUAGAGGUCGUGGCCUCAGCCAGCUUCUGGGGGAACACGCGCCAGGGCGGCUGCGUAUCUAUUUCAAAUAACAUUAUAAGUUCUACUUUCUGUUGCAUCAACAUGUUUAGCCUUUAUGGAAGCGCACGGCAGGCCUCCUGGAUCCCAGAGUUGGUGUAUAAGGGCCAUUUGGCUUGGCUGAGCAGGCUUUGAGUGGUAAGUGGGCUUUGGAAUCUGUUUACUUAGAAUAGAAAUAUCUCAGUUCAGUUUGCAGGGAAAAAAGGGGCUGUUCUAUGAUAUAUUUGGGCAGGGGCCCCAGUUUAAGCUUUCCUUUAAAUACAAAAAAAAACCCAAAAACCUUUAAAAAGUGUUCUGCUCACAUAAGGCAGAAGCCUGUCCAGCCCUGAGCUGCCUGCUCUUGUCUGCUAAUGAGCAGGUAAUAAGAAGUGGAGACGUCCUCCAGGGCACCUCCGGCUUCACUUUGGUCUGAAGGAGCUGAGGCCAUGCUGGGAGCUGCCCAAAGGAGACACCUGGGACUCCCAGAACGAGGUCAGAAGGGAGCACAAUGUGAGAAGUCUUAGAGGCUGGCACCAGCCAGGUAAGAGCUGAGUUUGCUGCGCACACACACAUGCAUACAUGCACACAUGCACACACAUGGUGUACACUCAUGCACACACACAAAUGCACGCA
rnacentral:lncRNA from 10 species